GUUGGAAUAGUGGGUCGAAGGACGUAGGUUGAUACUUAGGCAAAUCCGGGUAUCAUAAGACCGAGAUCUUACAGGCUCUUGACACUCUUCGGAGGAGAUGGAGAAUCGAUGAUACUGUCGUGCCAAGAAAAGCCACUAAGUAUAUUGUAUGUUGCCCGUACCGUAAACCGACACAGGUGGGUGGGAUGAGUAUUCUAAGGCGCGUGGAAGAACCCUGGUUAAGGAACUCUGCAAACUAGCACCGUAUCUUCGGUAUAAGGUGUGCCUACUUUGGUAUAUGGGCUUGCCCCAAAAAGCUAGAGAGGUUGCAACAAAGAGUCCCUCCCGACUGUUUACCAAAAACACAGCACUUUGCUAACACGUAAGUGGAUGUAUAAGGUGUGACGCCUGCCCGGUGCUCGAAGGUUAACUGAUGAUGUCAGCGCAAGCGAAGCAUUUGAUUGAAGCCCGAGUAAACGGCGGCCGUAACUAUAACGGUCCUAAGGUAGCGAAAUUCCUUGUCGGUUAAAUACCGACCUGCAUGAAUGGCGUAACGAGAUGGGAGCUGUCUCAACCAGGGAUCCAGUGAAAUUGUAGUGGAGGUGAAAAUUCCUCCUACCCGCGGAAAGACGGAAAGACCCCGUGCACCUUUACUACAGCUUGACACUGUAGCUUGGAUAUUCAUGUGCAGGAUAGGUGGGAGGCUAUGAUAUAUGGACGCAAGUACAUAUGGAGCCAUCCUUGAGAUACCACCCUUGAAUAUUUGAGUUACUAACUGCGACGAGUUAACCUCGUUCAGGACAAUGUCUGGUGGGUAGUUUGACUGGGGCGGUCGCCUCCUAAAAAGUAACGGAGGCUUACAAAGGUUAGUUCAAAGCGGUUGGAAAUCGCUUGUUGAGUAUAAUGGCAUAAACUAGCUUGACUGUGAGACAUACAAGUCGAACAGAGACGAAAGUCGGUCAUAGUGAUCCGGUGGUUCUGUGUGGAAGGGCCAUCGCUCAAAGGAUAAAAGGUACGCCGGGGAUAACAGGCUGAUCUCCCCCAAGAGCUCACAUCGACGGGGAGGUUUGGCACCUCGAUGUCGGCUCAUCGCAUCCUGGGGCUGUAGUCGGUCCCAAGGGUAUGGCUGUUCGCCAUUUAAAGCGGUACGCGAGCUGGGUUCAGAACGUCGUGAGACAGUUCGGUCCCUAUCUUCCGUGGGCGUAGGAAAGUUGAAGAGAUUUGUCCCUAGUACGAGAGGACCGGGAUGAACGUACCACUGGUGUACCAAUUGUUCUGCCAAGAGCAUCGUUGGGUAGCUACGUACGGAUGUGAUAAGAGCUGAAAGCAUCUAAGCUCGAAGCCAACUCUAAGAUGAACUUUCCCUGAAGUUCCCAGCAAGACUAGCUGGUUGAUAGGCUGGAUGUGUAAGCGUUGUGAGACGUUUAGCUGACCAGUACUAAUAGAACGUUUGGCUC
rnacentral:rRNA from 1 species